GGUAACUGGAUCCACCCCCUCCCCUCCCCCCCUGGGUAACUAGAUCCCUCCUACCCACCCCCCGGGUACUAUAUAUUUAAUGUGACGAAAGCAACUUCGCCACUGGUUCUUGGAUGGGAGUAAUUGCCAGCCUUUUAUCCUGUGACUAUGGCCCUUUUAAUUUGUUUUGGCUGAGAGACCCUAAUUAUGGCUAUUGGGACUUUAAACAAUGGUUCUCCGAACAGUCGAAGUGGCUGCCAUUCGACAUUCGAACACAUGGUGGCGGCCAUCUUGUUCGCAUGGACCAAAACCGCGACUAGACUUCUGGGGGACUUAGCCACGAAUGCCCUGUAACUAUUUUCAGCAUGAAAACCCCAGGCCCAGAUGGGUUGACAAACCAUUUUUAUAAAACAUAUGGUAACUUAAUAUGUGAACAUGUCUAUAAUAAGAUAGUUGAGAAAGGAUCUGGACCCAAAGAAAUGCUUUAUGCAAAUAUAAUUCCCAUUAUUAAAAAAGAUAAGGACCCCAAGGAAUUGAAAAACUAUCGCCCGAUAUCUUUAAUCAAUGUAGAUUCUAAACUGUUUAUGGCCAUUUUGGCUGAAAGAAUUUAAAUCUAUUUUGCCUAUCCCUAUACAUGAAGAUCAAAUCGGUUUCGUUCCUUCCAGACAGGCAAAUGCUAAGUCCAGGAGAUUGAUAGACAUAUUGGAUUGGGGGGAUAGAAUGGGUACGCCUCUCCUGACCCUGUCAUUGGACGCAGAGAAGGCCUUUGACACGGUCGGGUGGAGAUAUAUGUUUAAGGUCCUGGAAGCCAUGGGCUUCUGUGGAUGGAUGGAUGAGGGUUGCAAUUAAAUCUAUAUAUCAAGAUCCCAGGGCAAGAGUAGUAGGCGCAGAUUUAUGUUCCGAUUGGUUUGAGCUAAAUAAUGGCACCCGUCAGGGAUGCCCGCUCUCGACAAUAUUGUAUAUUAUCUCCAUGGAACCCUUUGCAGCCAGAAUUAGAGCUAACCGGAAUAUCAAAGGGAUUCCUAUAGCAUCAGGGGAUCUAAAGGUGUGUUUGUAUGCAGAUAAUACAAUAAUUACGUUGACGGAUCCCUCUGCCUCUAUUCCAAAUCUCAUGGAGGGGAUAAUCCGUUAUAGUGAAGUGUCGAAUUAUAAGAUGAAUAUAGAUAAAUCAAUAGUAAUGUUUUCAAAUUGUGAUUCUGGUGUUAAGAGACAAAUAUUAGAAAAAUAUAGCUUUAAGGAGGCCAGGGGAAGCUUUGAGUAUUUACGAGUUAUACUGUCAGACCCUUAAACAUCAUUGUUGAAAAGAAUGUCUUAAAAUUGAUUAAAGUAACAAAUCUGGCACUGAAAAAAAGAACAGUACAUUCUUGAGUUAGGCUGGCAGAAUAAAUAUAAUAAACACGUAUAUGCUUCCAAAGUGGACAUAUUUUUUUUUUUUAAAUGGUCCCUCUAAAGGUACCAGAUAGUUGGUUAGAAUUAAUUCAGAGAACGUUUAGGACCUUGCAUUAAUCUAGUCCAGUUGAUGAGGGCCCCUAGGCAAGGCGGUAUGAAUUUUCCCAAUAUUAGAAAGCACUAUUGUAGCGUUACUCACCUUCUCCAGGGGCCGGCCGCGGUCCUCUCUUCAAGCCGCGCGCGGUCCUGCUGCUGCACGAGCCGCGCGCGGCUCAUCCGACGGCUCCACUAGCAAGGCGGGCAGUGACCGCGAGAAGCGGUCACGUGUCCCGCCUGAAUCUAAGAGCGCGCCGCGAGUCUCGGGCGCGCUCUUAAAGAGACAGUGGGAGCCUAAAUUGUCAAAAGGCUCCCAUUGGCCCCUGUCAU